rnacentral:rRNA from 1 species
GCAAGUCGAACGGGAUUGAGAAGCUUGCUUUUCAUGAGAGUGGCGCACGGGUGCGUAACACGUAUGUAACCUACCUUAAUCUGGGGGAUAGCCUCUCGAAAGAGAGAUUAACACCGCAUAACAUUACCGGACAGCAUUUUCUGGUAAUCAAAUAUUUAUAGGAUUAAGAUGGGCAUGCGGAACAUUAGCUAGUUGGUAAGGUAAUGGCUUACCAAGGCUACGAUGUUUAGGGGAUCUGAGAGGAUGACCCCCCACACUGGUACUGAGACACGGACCAGACUCCUACGGGAGGCAGCAGUAAGGAAUAUUGGUCAAUGGGCGCAAGCCUGAACCAGCCAUGCCGCGUGCAGGAAGACGGCCCUACGGGUUGUAAACUGCUUUUGUACCGGAAUAAACCUUUUCACGUGUGAGAAGCUGAAUGUACGGUAAGAAUAAGGAUCGGCUAACUCCGUGCCAGCAGCCGCGGUAAUACGGAGGAUCCAAGCGUUAUCCGGAUUUAUUGGGUUUAAAGGGUGCGUAGGCGGUUCUUUAAGUCAGGGGUGAAAGACGGUAGCUUAACUAUCGCAGUGCCUUUGAUACUGAAGAACUUGAAUACACUUGAGGUAGGCGGAAUGUGACAAGUAGCGGUGAAAUGCAUAGAUAUGUCACAGAACACCAAUUGCGAAGGCAGCUUACUAAAGUGUCAUUGACGCUGAGGCACGAAAGCGUG